GUCUGUUUUCUGUUUCUGCAGUACGUUCUGGUGAUGUGGAAUCCAAGCUUAAUAAUAUGCCUGGUUUUGGCUUAUAAGAUAUUUACAUGUCGUAUUUCGGAUAAAAUCUACACCUAUUGUAAUAAUAAUAUUGCGUACUACGUGGGGCUUUCAAUCAUCCAGCGACAAAAAGCCUGCCAAUUCAAAUCGAGAAGUGGCCAAGAACAAUUAACCAGAUUGGAAUUGUAUCUGGUCAAGCACAAAAAAAUAUUAUCUAUAGUUUACACAUUGGUAUAAAAAAGCUUUUGACAGCCUAGUUUACUCCUAACACUUACCGGCUCUCUCAUUAUAUAAAAUUCACCCCGAAAUGAUUGAACUUCCAGGGAAUAAUGGAGCUAACAAUAACCAACCAAUUACCAUACUAAGAAUAGCCGUAAGGCAUAUUCCUUAGACCUUGUAGGAUUUUGCCUAGCACCAAACCUAUUGUCCAAUAUACUAGCGAUAGGGAAUAUCGUUUCCAAAUAAAACAGAAAUGAAAUCCCUCAUUCAAAUGAAGUCAUCUUUUCUACACGGACCAUAUAAAAACUACACCUAAACAAAAAAGCUAAUAGAAAAACCUCUUUGGUUUUUCUAUUCUAUUAUCGGCCAAUUCUAUUUGCUUCUUUGUUGAAUUUUGGCUUAAGAAAAUGCGGAACUCGAUAUCGUAUAUCGGCGCCGCAUCUAGAUAUUUUGUCAUCCGAAGUAACGUUAGAAAAUGUCGUUCCCUUCUCUUCACUCACCCACAUUAAUACUGUACAUACUUUGGAACCGGGAUAGCGACUUAAAAAA
rnacentral:lncRNA from 1 species